UCCCUGGUGGCUCAGAUGGUAAAGCGUCUGCCUGCAAUGCGGGAGACCCGGGUUCAGUUCCCGGGUUGGGAA
rnacentral:tRNA from 1 species